rnacentral:rRNA from 1 species
UACGUAGGGGGCGAGCGUUUGUCCGGAUUUAUUGGGCGUAAAGAGCUCGUAGGCGGCUUGGCAAGUCGGGUGUGAAACCUCCAGGCUCAACCUGGAGACGCCACUCGAUACUGCCAUGGCUAGAGUCCGGUAGGGGACCACGGAAUUCCUGGUGUAGCGGUGGAAAUGCGCAGAUAUCAGGAGGAACACCGGUGGGCGAAGGCGGUGGUCUGGGCCGGCACUGACGCUGAGGAGCGAAAGCGUGGGUAGCAAACAGG